UAAGGAUACUGAGGACCUUUGGAGGUCCUCAUCCAAAGGUCUUGCUGUAUUCCUCAUUGGAAGAUGUAAGUGAGACAGAGAAAGGACAGAGGCAGGGAGCCAUGACAAGGCAACUUCAGGGCCAAGAAGAAACUGUCAUGAAAAGAGUGAUAGGAUGGAGAAUAUUGGAGGAUGAGCUACAGUUCCCAAAAAUUAAGAAUGUUCCCAAAGAAUGAUGGAGACAUUUCAAAAGGAUACGGAAGCCAGAUUGUGGGCGCUUCUACUGGCCAACUCUGGGACAUCGUGGACAUCAAAAUAAAUUUGUAAUAAUAAAGGAUUAUAGCCUAUUAGUUAAAUCAGAAAAAUCUGAUUUAACUAAAUGAGUAGGAGGAAAAGAAAGCUCUUCCUUAUAUUAGAAAGUCAAUUAAUAAAUGCAGA
rnacentral:lncRNA from 1 species